rnacentral:tRNA from 1 species
CUGGUGGCACAGUGGUUAAAGCACUGGGCUACUAACCGAGAGGUCAGUGGUUCUAAUCCACACCAG